rnacentral:rRNA from 1 species
UACGAAGGGGGCUAGCGUUGCUCGGAAUCACCGGGCGUAAAGCGCACGUAGGCGGCUUCUUAAGUCAGGGGUGAAAUCCUGGAGCUCAACGCCAGAACUGCCUUUGAUACUGAGGAGCUUGAGUCCGGGAGAGGUGAGUGGAACUGCGAGUGUAGAGGUGAAAUUCGUAGAUAUUCGCAAGAACACCAGUGGCGAAGGCGGCUCACUGGCCCGGUACUGACGCUGAGGUGCGAAAGCGUGGGGAGCAAACAGG